UCACAUCUUCAGUGAGCUUAUCGUUGGUAGAAAUAUAAUGAUCAUGGAAAAGUCCUUGUUCAGAAACAGUACCCCAGUAGGUAUCAGGGGGUUUACACAGGAGAGAAACUGUUGGAAGACCUUUGAAGGCUGUGAAUGUGGCAGGGUUGCUAGUGGUACAUUCUGCCUUAUCCUCAGAGGGAAUCAUAUAGAAAUAAAACUAUGAAAAUGUAACUAGAACAUCUUCAUCAAAUUAUGAAAGAACACACGAAGCAAAUAAGCCCUGUCACACAUGAUGCUUCUCUAAUUUUCGUGUUUUCUGAUGCUUGGGACUGAUGAAUUGGGACUUAGUGCUGAUGAGUUUUUGACUUGCAGGGAAUUUAAUUGCAGUAUGAAGUCGUUCAUGGUUAGCAUGAAGAAAGGAGUCCCCAUUUCCAGUAAACUCAACAGAGUUCUUUAUUUCAUAGCCUUUGCUCUGGUUAACUAAAGUUAAAUUGGAUUUCAAACUUUUUCCAUGUAAGUCAAAUAUAUCAUGAUUUUGCCCUAACAGAAAUUGACUUUUGCUGCAAUGAACAAUAUUUUCAAAUGCAUCAUGUUCAUGACAUGGUUUCCUUCUGUUCACCAGGCUUUCACUCUGCAAGCGCUCCAGCACAUGAUCAACUUUCCAUAUGUCUAGAAAGAAAAGAACAAAGAUUUCUAUCAUUUAGAUUUGGGGUAAAAGUUUGUUGUGUUUUUUUUUUGUUUGUUUGU
rnacentral:lncRNA from 1 species